GAUGAACGCUGGCGGCGUGCCUAAUACAUGCAAGUCGAGCGAAUGGAUUAAGAGCUUGCUCUUAUGAAGUUAGCGGCGGACGGGUGAGUAACACGUGGGUAACCUGCCCAUAAGACUGGGAUAACUCCGGGAAACCGGGGCUAAUACCGGAUAACAUUUUGAACCGCAUGGUUCGAAAUUGAAAGGCGGCUUCGGCUGUCACUUAUGGAUGGACCCGCGUCGCAUUAGCUAGUUGGUGAGGUAACGGCUCACCAAGGCAACGAUGCGUAGCCGACCGAGGAGGGUGAUCGGCCACACCGGGACUGAGACACGGCCCAGACUCCUACGGGAGGCAGCAGUAGGGAAUCUUCCGCAAUGGACGAAAGUCUGACGGAGCAACGCCGCGUGAGUGAUGAAGGCUUUCGGGUCGUAAAACUCUGUUGUUAGGGAAGAACAAGUGCUAGUUGAAUAAGCUGGCACCUUGACGGUACCUAACCAGAAAGCCACGGCUAACUACGUGCCAGCAGCCGCCGUAA
rnacentral:rRNA from 1 species